UACGUAGGGGGCAAGCGUUGUCCGGAAUCAUUGGGCGUAAAGAGCUCGUAGGCGGCUCGUCGCGUCGACCGUGAAAACCCGCGGCUUAACUGCGGGCUUGCGGUUGAUACGGGCGGGCUAGAGUUCGGUAGGGGAGACUGGAAUUCCUGGUGUAGCGGUGAAAUGCGCAGAUAUCAGGAGGAACACCGGUCGCGAAGGCGGGUCUCUGGGCCGAUACUGACGCUGAGGAGCGAAAGCGUGGGGAGCGAACAGG
rnacentral:rRNA from 1 species